rnacentral:rRNA from 1 species
AGCUCCAAUAGCGUAUAUUAAAGUUGCUGCAGUUAAAAAGCUCGUAGUUGCAUUUCCGAGGCAAGGGAUUAGUCCGACCUUUGGUGGGUAUUUAAUCCUCUUGCCUCGUCCUUGAGUGGUGCUUCUUGGUAUUAAGUUAUCGAGGAGAUAGCCGCUCAUCGUUUACUGUGAGAAAAUUAGAGUGUUCAAAGCAGGCUUAUGCCGUUGAAUAUAUUAGCAUGGAAUAAUAAGAUAGGACCUCGGUACUAUGUUGGUGGUUUGAGAACCAAGGUAAUGAUGAAUAGGGACAGUUGGGGGUAUUCGUAUUCAGUUGUCAGAGGUGAAAUUCUUAGAUUUACGGAAGACGAACUACUGCGAAAGCAUUUACCAAGGAUGUUUUCA